rnacentral:rRNA from 1 species
UGGGGAAUAUUGCACAAUGGGGGAAACCCUGAUGCAGCGACGCCGCGUGAACGAAGAAGGUAUUCGUAUCGUAAAGUUCUGUCCUAUGGGAAGAUAAUGACAGUACCAUAGAAGAAAGCUCCGGCUAAAUACGUGCCAGCAGCCGCGGUAAUACGUAUGGAGCGAGCGUUGUCCGGAAUUAUUGGGCGUAAAGGGUACGCAGGCGGUUUAUUAAGUCGAAUGUUAAAGAUCGGGGCUCAACCCCGCAAAGCAUUGGAAACUGAUAAACUUGAGUAGUGGAGAGGAAAGUGGAAUUCCUAGUGUAGUGGUGAAAUACGUAGAUAUUAGGAGGAAUACCAGUAGCGAAGGCGACUUUCUGGACACAAACUGACGCUGAGGUACGAAAGCGUGGGGAGCAAACAGG